rnacentral:rRNA from 1 species
GGGUUGUGAGGUUAAGCGACUAAGCGUACACGGUGGAUGCCCUGGCAGUCAGAGGCGAUGAAGGGCGUACUAAUCUGCGAUAAGCGCCGGUAAGGUGAUAUGAACCGUUAUAACCGGCGAUACCCGAAUGGGGAAACCCAGUGUGAUUCGUCACACUAUCAUUAACUGAAUCCAUAGGUUAAUGAGGCGAACCGGGGGAACUGAAACAUCUAAGUACCCCGAGGAAAAGAAAUCAACCGAGAUUCCCCCAGUAGCGGCGAGCGAACGGGGAGGAGCCCAGAGCCUGAAUCAGCAUGUGUGUUAGUGGAAGCGUCUGGAAAGGCGCGCGAUACAGGGUGACAGCCCCGUACACAAAAGCGCAUGUGCUGUGAGCUCGAUGAGUAGGGCGGGACACGUGGUAUCCUGUCUGAAUAUGGGGGGACCAUCCUCCAAGGCUAAAUACUCCUGACUGACCGAUAGUGAACCAGUACCGUGAGGGAAAGGCGAAAAGAACCCCGGCGAGGGGAGUGAAAAAGAACCUGAAACCGUGUACGUACAAGCAGUGGGAGCACAGGUUUACCUGUGUGACUGCGUACCUUUUGUAUAAUGGGUCAGCGACUUAUAUUCUGUAGCAAGGUUAACCGAAUAGGGGAGCCGGAGGGAAACCGAGUCUUAAUUGGGCGUUAAGUUGCAGGGUAUAGACCCGAAACCCGGUGAUCUAGCCAUGGGCAGGUUGAAGGUUGGGUAACACUAACUGGAGGACCGAACCGACUAAUGUUGAAAAAUUAGCGGAUGACCUGUGGCUGGGGGUGAAAGGCCAAUCAAACCGGGAGAUAGCUGGUUCUCCCCGAAAGCUAUUUAGGUAGCGCCUCGUGAAUUCAUCUCCGGGGGUAGAGCACUGUUUCGGCUAGGGGGCCAUCCCGGCUUACCAACCCGAUGCAAACUGCGAAUACCGGAGAAUGUUAUCACGGGAGACACACGGCGGGUGCUAACGUCCGUCGUGAAGAGGGAAACAACCCAGACCGCCAGCUAAGGUCCCAAAGUCAUGGUUAAGUGGGAAACGAUGUGGGAAGGCCCAGACAGCCGUGAUGUUGGCUUAGAAGCAGCCAUCAUUUAAAGAAAGCGUAAUAGCUCACUGGUCGAGUCGGCCUGCGCGGAAGAUGUAACGGGGCUAAACCAUGCACCGAAGCUGCGGCAGCGACACUGUGUGUUGUUGGGUAGGGGAGCGUUCUGUAAGCCUGCGAAGGUGGCCUGUGAGGGUUGCUGGAGGUAUCAGAAGUGCGAAUGCUGACAUAAGUAACGAUAAAGCGGGUGAAAAGCCCGCUCGCCGGAAGACCAAGGGUUCCUGUCCAACGUUAAUCGGGGCAGGGUGAGUCGACCCCUAAGGCGAGGCCGAAAGGCGUAGUCGAUGGGAAACGGGUUAAUAUUCCCGUACUUGGUGUUACUGCGAAGGGGGACGGAGAAGGCUAUGUUGGCCGGGCGACGGUUGUCCCGGUUUAAGCGUGUAGGUGUGUGUUCCAGGUAAAUCCGGUUCACUUUAACACUGAGGCGUGACGACGAGGCACUACGGUGCUGAAGCAACAAAUGCCCUGCUUCCGGAAAAGCCUCUAAGCAUCAGGUAACAUCAAAUCGUACCCCAAACCGACACAGGUGGUCAGGUAGAGAAUACCAAGGCGCUUGAGAGAACUCGGGUGAAGGAACUAGGCAAAAUGGUGCCGUAACUUCGGGAGAAGGCACGCUGACACGUAGGUGAAGUGAUUUACUCAUGGAGCUGAAGUCAGUCGAAGAUACCAGCUGGCUGCAACUGUUUAUUAAAAACACAGCACUGUGCAAACACGAAAGUGGACGUAUACGGUGUGACGCCUGCCCGGUGCCGGAAGGUUAAUUGAUGGGGUCAGCGCAAGCGAAGCUCCUGAUCGAAGCCCCGGUAAACGGCGGCCGUAACUAUAACGGUCCUAAGGUAGCGAAAUUCCUUGUCGGGUAAGUUCCGACCUGCACGAAUGGCGUAAUGAUGGCCAGGCUGUCUCCACCCGAGACUCAGUGAAAUUGAACUCGCUGUGAAGAUGCAGUGUACCCGCGGCAAGACGGAAAGACCCCGUGAACCUUUACUAUAGCUUGACACUGAACAUUGAGCCUUGAUGUGUAGGAUAGGUGGGAGGCUUUGAAGUGUGGACGCCAGUCUGCAUGGAGCCGACCUUGAAAUACCACCCUUUAAUGUUUGAUGUUCUAACGUGGACCCGUUACCCGGGUUGCGGACAGUGUCUGGUGGGUAGUUUGACUGGGGCGGUCUCCUCCUAAAGAGUAACGGAGGAGCACGAAGGUUGGCUAAUCCUGGUCGGACAUCAGGAGGUUAGUGCAAUGGCAUAAGCCAGCUUGACUGCGAGCGUGACGGCGCGAGCAGGUGCGAAAGCAGGUCAUAGUGAUCCGGUGGUUCUGAAUGGAAGGGCCAUCGCUCAACGGAUAAAAGGUACUCCGGGGAUAACAGGCUGAUACCGCCCAAGAGUUCAUAUCGACGGCGGUGUUUGGCACCUCGAUGUCGGCUCAUCACAUCCUGGGGCUGAAGUAGGUCCCAAGGGUAUGGCUGUUCGCCAUUUAAAGUGGUACGCGAGCUGGGUUUAGAACGUCGUGAGACAGUUCGGUCCCUAUCUGCCGUGGGCGCUGGAGAACUGAGGGGGGCUGCUCCUAGUACGAGAGGACCGGAGUGGACGCAUCACUGGUGUUCGGGUUGUCAUGCCAAUGGCACUGCCCGGUAGCUAAAUGCGGAAGAGAUAAGUGCUGAAAGCAUCUAAGCACGAAACUUGCCCCGAGAUGAGUUCUCCCUGAGACUUAAAGUCUCCUGAAGGAACGUUGAAGACGACGACGUUGAUAGGCCGGGUGUGUAAGCGCAGCGAUGCGUUGAGCUAACCGGUACUAAUGAACCGUGAGGCUUAACCUUACAACGCCGAAG